rnacentral:rRNA from 1 species
GAUGAACGCUGGCUACAGGCUUAACACAUGCAAGUCGAGGGGAAACGACGGGGAAGCUUGCUUCCCCGGGCGUCGACCGGCGCACGGGUGAGUAACGCGUAUCCAACCUGCCUCUGACUGAGGGAUAACCCGUCGAAAGUCGGCCUAAUACCUCAUGGUAUCGUCUGCGGGCAUCCAACGACGAUUAAAGAUUUCAUCGGUCAGGGAUGGGGAUGCGUCUGAUUAGCUUGUUGGCGGGGUAACGGCCCACCAAGGCUACGAUCAGGAGGGGUUCUGAGAGGAAGGUCCCCCACAUUGGAACUGAGACACGGUCCAAACUCCUACGGGAGGCAGCAGUGAGGAAUAUUGGGCAAUGGGCGAGAGCCUGAACCAGCCAAGUAGCGUGCAGGAAGACGGCCCUAUGGGUUGUAAACUGCUUUUAUGCGGGGAUAAAGUGAGGGACGUGUCCCUCAUUGCAGGUACCGCAUGAAUAAGGACCGGCUAAUUCCGUG